GAGGAUGGGAUACAGCAAGUUGACAGCAUUAAUAGAAAUGAUUUGUAAGAUCACAAUAUUAAAAGAAACAAAUAAACAAACAUCACUAACAUAAUGUAAAUUUGUUUCUACUACAUUGUUCAAGUAUGUUAUUGCUGAGAUCCUACCCUAACACAUAGCCUCAAAUCAUUGUAUCAGCCCCAAUUUGUUUUAGUGACCUAAUAGCAAUAAAACUUUGGUUUUGUCUAGAAAACUAUUAGACAAGUUCACAUCAUGCAAAUCAACUAAUAAACUUGCAAGGUCGUUAUUCUAUCAUUAUAGGCUGGUUGUAAUAACAGCAUAUGACUUGUACUUUUUAAAAACCAGGUAAUUGUCAAUGGCUUUGAAAAAAAAGUGAAAAAAAA